ensembl:lncRNA
GGACAGGGCACCCAGAGCGGAGAUCACACACAGGCCACUCCUUUCAGGGAAAGCAGCUCAUCCUGCUGCACAUGGCUCAGACACAGAAUCCCAGGAAUUGAGAGAAACUGAGGGAGUGGAUCUGUCCUCUAGAACUUCCUCACUUCUGAGCGUGUGGCCACCAGGGUUCGGAGAGAGCGCGGGUGAGCAGCAGCCCCAGGGUCUGAAAAGAAGGGCAGCCCCUGUGGAAGGUUCUAGAAGUGGUGAUGGAUGAUUCCCGCGGGAAUGUUCGAGAACUGAUCCUCUUUUGUUGCCAGUUCAGCGAGUCCAGGUGGUUGAGUAUCAGAGUGUUCCAUCUCGUUUCCCUUUGGGGGUCUCGCUGUAUAGCUCAGGCUGUCCUCGACCUCACUGUGCAGGCCAGGCUUGUAUGGAAUUCAGGGCGAUCUUCCUGCCUCAGUCUCCCUAGUGCUGGAAUUAUAGGCCUUCAUUUCCAUAAGCUACUCAUUUACAAGAACUGUACUUCUAACUUCACAUUCGUGCUUGAAUCUGAACAGCCUUUGGAAAGUGCAAGACUUGAACUACCCUUGAAGUCUACAGGUUUCUAUUUCACUCAUUGCUAUAAUUGCGAGUAUUGCAAUGACGGAGGACUUGACGAUGUAGAAAUAGACUUGAGACAUCCUGUAAUUGAAGAGAAGCUACAAGAUGGGACUGUAUGUUUUAUGGUGCCAGAGCUUUGCCUCUGUAAUAGCCAGCAAUACACUGCAUGAGAACCACUUUUUGUGGGAGUCUGUUGGUCUUCCCCUUUUCCUCAGUUCAGUUUUGUUUCCUCUUGUCCCCUUGAGACAUCACUGAG